AGGCGGAAGUGCGGAGAGGCGGACGGGUUAGGGCCACCGCAUAGUCCCCAGGGCCGUGGGAAUGGGGGCGCCUCCGUGGGGAGCCAGCGUGGGCCGAGUGCGGAGGCCGAGACCCCGACCCCUCCCCACGGCCGGCCGCGCGAUGAUUUGCUGGUGCCUGGUGACUGUAGAGGGUCCGGCUGUAAAAUGUAAUCCCAGCCAGUGUGACAUCACCGCAGUCUGGUGUGACAGCCCCGGAGAUUGGGCAACGCUCGGGGAGGCUGGGAAGCCCCCGGGGGUGAGGAACUACAACAGCUUAGCCUUUCCGAUUUCUUUUCCAGGUGGAGAUGUUCUAGCAGUGGGGCAUCAGCAUACGGGUUGUGCACAUCAGGUGUCUCUUAGGGAGCGCUCCCAUUUCCGCCUUGGGCAUCAGUAUUCGCUUUAGGUGAGCUGGAAUAGCUGUUCUGAACCUGACCCUUCAUGCAGUGAGCGAAUGCUGACAGCUUUCUAGCCUCCACCAGGCCAUAAGGCUGGAUACAAUGCGUUGGACCUUGAGUCCUGAGAAAAUGAACACUAGGUUAUCCUAAUAGAAUUGCUGCCAUCUCCUAUCGUCAAGAGAGUCUAUAGGACUUCAGAUAUGCCUCCUGUUGUGUAAGACGUUCUUCUGACUCCCAAGGAAUAAUCCAGGAAAAAUUCUGGCUCCCUAAUUGUUUUCAUGAAGAGGCACAUGAGUGAUGGGGCUACACUAGGACCUGCUGGGUCCCAGCAGAAAUGAUGGCUUGAUGGAAGAGGAGUCUGGAUGAACGGUGUGCUUAUGAGAUUAAAGUAGAAGGAAUUAAAAAAUAAGAGAAGGUGAAACUAGA